GAAAGCGUGGGGAGCAAACAGGAUUAGAUACCCUGUUAGUCCACGCCCUAACCGAUGUCUAACUUGUCGUCGGGAGGGCUAAACCUUUCGGUGACGGAGCUAACGCAUUAAGUAGACCGCCUGGGGAGUACGGCCGCAAGGUUGAAACUCAAAUGAAUUGACGGGGGCCCGCACAAGCGGUGGAGCAUGUGGUUUAAUUCGAUGCAACGCGAAGAACCUUACCUACUCUUGACAUCCAGAGAACUUAGCAGAGAUGCUUUGGUGCCUUCGGGAACUCUGAGACAGGUGCUGCAUGGCUGUCGUCAGCUCGUGUUGUGAAAUGUUGGGUUAAGUCCCGCAACGAGCGCAACCCUUAUCCUUUGUUGCCAGCGAUUCGGUCGGGAACUCAAAGGAGACUGCCAGUGAUAAACUGGAGGAAGGUGGGGAUGACGUCAAGUCAUCAUGGCCCUUAUGGCCAGGGCCACACACGUGCUACAAUGGUCGGUACAGAGGGUAGCCAAACCGCGAGGUGGAGCCAAUCCCAUAAAGCCGAUCUUAGUCCGGAUUGCAGUCUGCAACUCGACUGCAUGAAGUCGGAAUCGCUAGUAAUCGUGGAUCAGCAUUGCCACGGUGAUACGUUCCCGGG
rnacentral:rRNA from 1 species